rnacentral:rRNA from 1 species
GACGAGGGAUCCUAGCGUUGUUCGGAAUCAUUGGGCGUAAAGCGGGUGUAGGUGGCUUUGUAAGUCAGGUGUGAAAGCCCAGGGCUCAACCCUGGAAGUGCAUUUGAUACUGCGAAGCUUGAGUGCUGGAGAGGUAAGUAGAAUUCCUGGUGUAGUGGUGAAAUACGUAGAUAUCAGGAGGAAUACCGGAGGCGAAGACGGCUUACUAGCCAGACACUGACACUCAGACCCGAAAGUGUGGGGAUCAAACAGG